rnacentral:rRNA from 1 species
AUUGAACGCUGGCGGCAGGCUUAACACAUGCAAGUCGAGCGGAGAUGAGGUGCUUGCACCUUAUCUUAGCGGCGGACGGGUGAGUAAUGCUUAGGAAUCUGCCUAUUAGUGGGGGACAACAUUCCGAAAGGAAUGCUAAUACCGCAUACGUCCUACGGGAGAAAGCAGGGGAUCUUCGGACCUUGCGCUAAUAGAUGAGCCUAAGUCGGAUUAGCUAGUUGGUGGGGUAAAGGCCUACCAAGGCGACGAUCUGUAGCGGGUCUGAGAGGAUGAUCCGCCACACUGGGACUGAGACACGGCCCAGACUCCGACGGGAGGCAGCAGUGGGGAAUAUUGGACAAUGGGGGAACCCUGAUCCAGCCAUGCCGCGUGUGUGAAGAAGGCCUUAUGGUUGUAAAGCACUUUAAGCGAGGAGGAGGCUACUGAGACUAAUACUCUUGGAUAGUGGACGUUACUCGCGGAAUAAGCACCGGCUAACUCUGUGCCAGCAGCCGCCGUAACAC